AGCGUCGUCUGUGAAUCAUCGAAUCUUUGAACGCAUCUUGCACUCGUCAGGUCUCCUGACGAGUAUACUUGUUUGAGUAUCAUAAACAUUACCUCCGAGCUUCGGCUUGGGACUUGAGGUUUCAGAAGGCGCAAGUCUUUUGUUCCUUUUAAUGUAUACGUUUGCGAUCUUCUUGACGCCAGUCGGGAAGAGCCUAUUAAAUCAAAUGUGAGAUACAUAUCGCACAAAGUAGUUUAGAAGGUUAAAGCGAGCCACGCCUAGUAGCGUCAUUAACGUGACAAUACACUUUGAACAUUGAUCUCAAAUCAAGUAAGACUACCCGCUGAACUUAAGCAUAUCAAUAAGCGGAGG
rnacentral:rRNA from 1 species